CUGCAUGCACUGGCAGACUGGGAAGGUUGGGGUUCUCGUGGUCUGCACUGGGAUGCAGAAGUCAAGAACCCCAUGCCUUCUGCCCGUCUUCGCGGUGGCCCCAGACUGAACUCAGGAGACAUCA